rnacentral:rRNA from 1 species
UACGGGGGGGGCAAGCGUUGUUCGGAAUUACUGGGCGUAAAGGGCUCGAUAGGCGGCCAACUAAGUCGGACUGUGAAAAUCCCCAGGCUCAACCUGGGAAACUGGCGUCCGCAUACUGGAUGGCAUUGAAUCCGGGAGAAGGGAUGCAGAAUUCCGAGGUGUAGCGGUGAAAUGCGUAGAUAUCUGGAGGAAUACCGGUGGCGAAGGCGGCAUCCUGGACCGGCAUUGACGCUGAGGAGCGAAAGCCAGGGGAGCAAAGCGGGG